GAUGAACGCUGGCGGCGUGCUUAACACAUGCAAGUCGAACGAAGCACUUUUACAGAUUUCUUCGGAAUGAAGUUUUAGUGACUGAGUGGCGGACGGGUGAGUAACGCGUGGGUAACCUGCCUCACACAGGGGGAUAACAGUUGGAAACGGCUGCUAAUACCGCAUAAGCGCACAGUACCGCAUGGUACAGUGUGAAAAACUCCGGUGGUGUGAGAUGGACCCGCGUCUGAUUAGCUAGUUGGCAGGGCAACGGCCUACCAAGGCGACGAUCAGUAGCCGGCCUGAGAGGGUGAACGGCCACAUUGGGACUGAGACACGGCCCAAAACUCCUACGGGAGCAGCAGUGGGGAAUAUUGCACAAUGGGGGAAACCCUGAUGCAGCGACGCCGCGUGAGUGAUGAAGUAUUUCGGUAUGUAAAAACUCUAAUCAGCAGGGAAGAUAAAUGACGGUACCUGACUAAAGAAGCAACCGGGCUAAAAUACGUGCCAGCAG
rnacentral:rRNA from 1 species